AACAGGAUUAGAUACCCUGGUAGUCCACGCUGUAAACGAUGUCGACUUGGAGGUUGUGCCCUUGAGGCGUGGCUUCCGGAGCUAACGCGUUAAGUCGACCGCCUGGGGAGUACGGCCGCAAGGUUAAAACUCAAAUGAAUUGACGGGGGCCCGCACAAGCGGUGGAGCAUGUGGUUUAAUUCGAUGCAACGCGAAGAACCUUACCUACUCUUGACAUCCAGAGAAUUUGCUAGAGAUAGCUUAGUGCCUUCGGGAACUCUGAGACAGGUGCUGCAUGGCUGUCGUCAGCUCGUGUUGUGAAAUGUUGGGUUAAGUCCCGCAACGGGCGCAACCCUUAUCCUUUGUUGCCAGCACGUAAUGGUGGGAACUCAAAGGAGACUGCCGGUGAUAAACCGGAGGAAGGUGGGGAUGACGUCAAGUCAUCAUGGCCCUUACGAGUAGGGCUACACACGUGCUACAAUGGCAUAUACAAAGAGAAGCGAACUCGCGAGAGCAAGCGGACCUCAUAAGGUAUGUCGUAGUCCGGAUUGGAGUCUGCAACUCGACUCCAUGAAGUCGGAAUCGCUAGUAAUCGUAGAUCAGAAUGCUACGGUGAAUACGUUCCCGGGCCUUGUACACACCGCCCGUCACACCAUGGGAGUGGGUUGCAAAAGAAGUAGGUAGCUUAACCUUCGGGAGGGCGCUUACCACUUUGUGAUUCAUGACUGGGGUGAAGUCGUAACAAGGUAACC
rnacentral:rRNA from 1 species